GACGAACGCUGGCGGCGUGCUUAACACAUGCAAGUCGAACGAAGAGCGAUGGAAGCUUGCUUCUAUCAAUCUUAGUGGCGACCGUGUGAGUAACGCGUAAUCAACCUGCCCUUCAGAGGGGGACCACAGUUGGAAACGACUGCUAAUACCGCAUACGAUCUAAUCUCGGCAUCGAGGAUAGAUGAAAGGUGGCCUCUACAUGUAAGCUAUCACUGAAGGAGGGGAUUGCGUCUGAUUAGCUAGUUGGAGGGGGAACGGCCCCCCCAGGCGAUGCUCAGUAGCCGGUCUGAGAGGAUGAACGGCCACAAUGGGACCGAGACACGGCCCAGACUCCUACGGGAGGGAGCAGUGGGGAAUCUUCCGCAAUGGACGAAAGUCUGACGGAGCAACGCCGCGGGAGUGAUGACGGCCUUCGGGUUGUAAAGCUCGGUUAAUCGGGACGAAAGGCCUUCUUGCGAACAGUUAGAAGGAUUGACGGUACCGGAAUAGAAAGCCACGGCUAACUACGUG
rnacentral:rRNA from 1 species